CCUGACCCCAUGCCGAACUCAGAAGUGAAACGCCGUAGCGCCGAUGGUAGUGUGGGGCUUCCCCAUGUGAGAGUAGGGAACUGCCAGGC
rnacentral:rRNA from 1 species